rnacentral:rRNA from 1 species
UACAUGGGGUGCAAACGUUUGCUCGGAAUUAUUUGGGCGUAAAGCGCGCGUAGGCGGUUACUCAAGUCGGAUGUGAAAGCCCUCGGCUUUAACUGAGGAAGUGCACCCGAAACUGAGUAGCUAGAGUACCAAAGAGGGUCGCGGAAUUUCCCGGUGUAGAGGUGAAAUUUCGUAGAUAUCGGGAGGAACACCGGUGGCGAAGGCGGCGACCUGGGUGGAUACUGACGCUGAGGCGCGAAAGCGUGGGGAGCAAACAGG